rnacentral:lncRNA from 1 species
AGUUGGUUUUCAUUUGAAUUGAAAUUUGAUUUGAAUUCAAAUGUGCAACCACUUAUCUUUAUCCUCUCACGCGGAUAAGACACGUUCGACGUUGUUUUAAAAAGAGGAGAAAGGUGGGAUGUGCGUAAAAAUUUUAGGAGAGAAACUUUGGGGCGUGAGGAAAGUUUGUGCGCAAGGUGAAGGUCCAAAACCUUCCGAGAGAAAAAGAAAGAAAAGAAAGAAAAUUGAGCACAGG